rnacentral:rRNA from 1 species
GAUGAACGCUGGCGGCGUGCCUAAUACAUGCAAGUCGAGCGAAUGGAUUAAGAGCUUGCUCUUAUGAAGUUAGCGGCGGACGGGUGAGGAACACGUGGGUAACCUGCACAUAAGACUGGGAUAACUCGGGGAAACCGGGGCGAAUACCGGAUAAAAUUUUGAACCGCAUGGUUCGAAAUGGUAAGGCGACUUCGGAUGUCACUUAUGGAGGGACCCUCGUCGCAUUAGGUAGUUGGUGAGGUAACGGCUCACCGAGGCAACGAUGCGUAGCCGACCUGAGAGGGUGAUCGGCCACACUGGGACUGAGACACGGACCAGACUCCUACGGGAGGCAGCAGUAGGGAAUCAUCCGCAAUGGACGAAAGUCUGACGGAGCAACGCCGCGUGGGUGAUGAAGGCUUUCGGGUCGUAAAACUCUGUUGUUAGGGAAGAACAAGUGCUAGUUGAAUAAGCUGACACCUUGACGGUACCUAACCAGAAAGCCACGGCUAACUACGUGCCAGCCGCCGCCGUAA